rnacentral:lncRNA from 1 species
AUCCUGUAGAUGAUCGCAGCAACGUCUGAGAUUCUAAAAUAGCCACACAGUCAUCUAGCCUCUACCAAUAUCCACUCAAGCAGGAUCUAGAUUAUCUUCUCUUCACAAAUCUUUGCUUCAAAAAUCAAAUCUAGAUCUGAUCUGGAAGAUCUUCAAAAGAUCUUCUGAAGCUAGAGCAGCAACUUCUCGAUAAAUCCCUACAGCCUUCU